GGGGAUUAGCUCAGCUGGGAGAGCGCCUGCCUUGCACGCAGGAGGUCAGCGGUUCGAGCCCGCUAUC
rnacentral:tRNA from 1 species